rnacentral:sRNA from 1 species
GUUUCAAUUCCUCAUAGGCAGGCUAUCGGCAUAAUUCUAUGAAAAAAGCAGGCGGCAUUAUAUCUCG